rnacentral:rRNA from 1 species
UACAGAGGGUGCGAGCGUUAAUCGGAAUUACUGGGCGUAAAGCGUGCGUAGUCGGUUAUUUAAGUCGGAUGUGAAAGCCCCGGGCUCAACCUGGGAAUUGCAUUCGAGACUGAAUAGCUAGGGUACGGUAGAGGGAAGUGGAAUUUCCGGUGUAGCGGUGAAAUGCGUAGAUAUAGGAAGGAACACCAGUGGCGAAGGCGACCACCUGGACUGAUACUGACACUGAGGUGCGAAAGCGUGGGGAGCAAACAGG